UGCCGGAAGCUGGCACACGAUGAUACUGAGUCACGUACCAGUGAGGUCUAGGUUGAGGUCGCCUUCAGUGCUGGAAGCUAAGGCACUAGCACUCGCCUUGGGAGUACGUGCCAGGCUGGAAACUCCAAAGGCAUGACGGGACCCGCCACCAAGCGGGUGGGAGCAUGUGGUUUAUCGAGCAACGCGGAAGAACCUUACCACUCUGACAUCCCCUGACCGGUACAGAGAUGUACUCUUCCCUUCGGGGGCAGGGGUGACAGGUGGUGCAUGGUUGUCGUCAGCUCGUGUCGUGAGAUGUUGGGUUAAGUCCCGCAACGAGCGCAACCCUUGUCCUUAGUUGCCACCAUUCAGUUGGGCACUCUAAGGAGACUGCCGGUGACAAACCGGAGGAAGGUGGGGAUGACGUCAAAUCAUCAUGCCCCUUAUGAGUUGGGCUACACACGUGCUACAAUGGACGGUACAAAGGGCAGCGAAGCCGCGAGGUGGAGCCAAUCCCAGAAAGCCGUUCUCAGUUCGGAUUGCAGGCUGCAACUCGCCUGCAUGAAGUCGGAAUCGCUAGUAAUCGCAGGUCAGCAUACUGCGGUGAAUACGUUCCCGGGUCUUGUACACACCGCCCGUCACACCACGAGAGUUUGUAACACCCGAAGUCGGUGAGGUAACCUUAGGGAGCCAGCCGCCGAACGUGACAG
rnacentral:rRNA from 1 species